rnacentral:misc_RNA from 1 species
UUCGCAGCGGUCGGCCGGCCUGAUUGACAGUCGGUGGCCGGCGCUGGACGGGGAGUGUGUGUCGACCGGCGCGGGCGAGCGGGCGAGCGCGGUGGACAGGCGGCGGCGCGCGGCGGGGCUCGGCACGCGGUGCUGACACCAGUGAAGCGCGCGCGAUUCCCGGACAUGGCGAGGCGCGCGGUGUGAGAUAGAGGGGGAGAGAGCGAGCGGCGCGCGACACGUGAUUCUGACCGGUCGCGGACUGAGCGCGAGCCACGGACACUGAGACAGCUGCCAGCAUGGCCGGCACUCGACCGGAGGAGUACGGGCUGGGCCAUUUCGGCGGCGCCAUGGACGGCAUGGCCGGCGCCAUGUACGACCCGCACGGCCAGCGAUCGCUGCACUCGCUGGGCAUGAGCCACUCGCCGGCACACAUGGCGCACGGCAUGCACGCCUACCAGGCGGCGGCGGCGGCCAACCACGUCUCACCGCCGUCCCACCACGUCAUGGGCGCCGCCAACGCCGUGCCGGACGCCCAGAAACGCGACAAGGACGCCAUAUACGCGCACCCGCUGUUCCCGUUGCUGGCCCUCAUUUUCGAGAAGUGCGAGCUGGCGACCUGCACGCCCCGCGACCCGGGCGUGGCCGGCGGUGACGUGUGCAGCUCCGAGUCGUUCAACGAGGACAUCGGCGUCUUCAGCAAACAGAUUCGAGCAGAAAAGCCAUACUACAAUCCUAACCCGGAGUUAGAUAGUCUAAUGGUGCAGGCCAUCCAGGUUCUGCGGUUUCAUCUGCUCGAAUUAGAAAAGGUUCACGAGCUGUGCGACAACUUCUGCCACCGCUACAUCAGCUGUUUGAAGGGCAAGAUGCCCAUAGACCUAGUGAUUGAUGAGCGGGACAGCGGCGGCGCGGCCGCCAAGCCCAGCGAGCACGGCCACGGUGACACCAACAACAACAGUGGCAACUCGCGCGCCUCGGCAGAGGCUAGCCAAGACGGCACCAGCACGCCCGACAUUCGGCCGCCCUCGUCGUCGCUGUCGUUCAGCGGUCAGGGUGCCGAGGACGUGCGCUCGCCGGGCUCCGGCGGCACGCCCGGCCCGCUCAGCCACCCUCCGGCGUCCACCCAGAGCGCCGACAACGGCAGCGAAGCAGGUGACGCCAGCAACGCCAGCAUAGGCAGCGGAGAGGGCACCGGAGAGGAGGAGGACGACUCGGGGAAGAAGAACCACAAAAAGAGGGGCAUCUUCCCCAAGGUCGCCACCAACAUCCUACGCGCCUGGCUGUUCCAGCACUUAACGCAUCCGUACCCGUCAGAAGACCAAAAGAAGCAGCUGGCGCAGGACACGGGCCUGACAAUACUGCAGGUCAACAAUUGGUUCAUCAACGCUCGGCGGCGCAUCGUCCAGCCCAUGAUUGACCAAUCAAAUCGCGCCGUGGGCUUCCCGGGCCCGGCAGCGGCCUACUCGCCAGAGGCGGCCAGCAUGGGCUACGUGAUGGACACGCACCAGCAGAUGCUGCACCGGACCGGCGACCCGUACCAGGACUACGCGGCGGCGGCCGCCUACCAGCAGCAGUACUACGGCCACCACCUGUAGCAGCCGCAGGUGGCCGCCCGGAUCUCUGCAGCGGUGUCGCCGGACAGCUGUGUUUCGCCGCCUCAUCGCUAGAUGGUGCUGAGCGCGGCGCGCCGCCGUGGCGACCAACUGCUUCACUGUGUGUUCAUCGGCCGCGUGGCUCGGUGGGCCGGCAAUGGUGUGCACCGUGCUGAUUGUGUGUGGUGGAGUGUGGGGCGGCAGCAAUAGGCGGCGUUCGCGGCGCCCUCGGUGCGCCGCGCCGCCGCUCCUGUAUGUUCAAUGUGAUGACGACUGUACAUAAUUUGUUACUGCGGACGGUAGCGCGCGGCUCGCUGCCAGCGGCCUCCGCCCGGCCGUGUGGCCCGUGUAGUGCUGAUACCCUUAUUUGUUGCUGCCGGCGGCGGCGGCGCCGCGUGCCGUCGCCAGUGGCCGGGAGCGUUUGUUUGGCGUGUGUGCCCCGCGCGGCAGUUGGGUUCCGGGCGCACGCCUCUGGGCAGGGGGUCCGUUUGACGUCACGCCGGACGCGCCCUGCGGCGCGUGGCCGGGGCGCCAGCGCCGCAGGUGCCUCCGUCCGCCGCGUACUGUAUAAUGGAAACAACAGGGUAUAUCAUUGUGCGUUCGGGCAUUUCUGUUCAUGCGGGCACCCCACACACACACACAUACACGCGGAAAGAGAGGGAGCGGGUGUGAGAGAGGGAGCGCCCGGUGCAGUGUGUCGGUUCUAGUGCGUAGUGUGUGCCCUCAUAUCGUGCCGUGGUGGCGGCCGGGCGCCGCCGCCGGCCCGCAGCCCGACUCCACUGGCUGGGUGGGCGCGUCUCGUAGCAUAUGAUCAAAAUCUCCCCGUCACCGCCUCUCCAGCGCUCCUCUCCGCCGCCGGCUACCCCAGCAGAGCGCUCCUCUCCGCCGACUUCUAACAACCCCCCAAAUUGGAACAACAGCGCACGUGCGCGCGCGCAGAAAUUCUACGCCUGUGACUCUGACUGUGCCACCUACGGCCGGCAUUUUACUGCGACCGCGACCCGAGCACGUCUGCACCGGUUCGGCGGCGACUCUCAGAUAUUAUUUCGACUAUAGGAAGCCGUACAGAAGCGCCGUGGCGCUGUGACCUCUCGGUGACUCUCCGAAUCGGACGAGCCGCAUUGUGGCAAUGUCAUAAUUCACGGUGCACUUGAGUACAUUGUUAACGUAUUCGGCGGCGUCCUCGCGUGAUGUGCGUCAAGCUAGGCUUCGGUUUCAAUAGUUCCUGCGUUUAUACCGUUUCUGAAAUGUGAUUUAUUUGCUAGCUAACAUGUGGGCUUACGUUUGGGUUGCGACUGAUGGAAGGCGCUGUGUGACUUUCUCCGUCGCCCAAGAGCCUGACGAAUUCAGUGACGGAAAUAUCGCCCCCGGCGCGACCUGAUCUUACGAUUCAUGUACAGCUUCAUUGACAGUGGUAUUUCAUGUACAAAACUAGCGUCUGUACCGACCUGUUGUCUGGAUUAGAAUGCAUUGUAUAUGGUUUUUGAAUGAGAACAUUACAGCUACUGAAUUGUGUAAAUGUA